rnacentral:rRNA from 1 species
AGAGUUUGAUCAUGGCUCAGGAUGAACGCUAGCGGCAGGCUUAAUACAUGCAAGUCGUGGGGCAGCAUGUCCCGCAGCAAUGUGGGAUGAUGGCGACCGGCAAACGGGUGCGGAACACGUACACAACCUUCCUUUUAGUGGGGAAUAGCCCGGGGAAACCCGGAUUAAUACCCCGUAAUAUAAUGAAGUGGCAUCACUUUAUUAUUAUAGCAGCAAUGCGCUUAAAGAUGGGUGUGCGACUGAUUAGGCAGUUGGCGGGGUAACGGCCCACCAAACCUACGAUCAGUAACUGGUGUGAGAGCACGACCAGUCACACGGGCACUGAGACACGGGCCCGACUCCUACGGGAGGCAGCAGUAAGGAAUAUUGGUCAAUGGACGCAAGUCUGAACCAGCCAUGCCGCGUGGAGGAUGAAGGUCCUCUGGAUUGUAAACUUCUUUUAUCUGGGAAGAAAUCCACGAAUUCUUUUGUGGUUGACGGUACCAGAUGAAUAAGCACCGGCUAACUCCGUGCCAGCAGCCGCGGUAAUACGGAGGGUGCAAGCGUUAUCCGGAUUCACUGGGUUUAAAGGGUGCGUAGGUGGGCAGGUAAGUCAGUGGUGAAAUCUCCGGGCUUAACUCGGAAACUGCCAUUGAUACUAUCUGUCUUGAAUACCGUGGAGGUCAGCGGAAUAUGUCAUGUAGCGGUGAAAUGCUUAGAUAUGACAUAGAACACCAAUUGCGAAGGCAGCUGGCUACACGAAUAUUGACACUGAUGCACGAAAGCGUGGGGAUCAAACAGGAUUAGAUACCCUAGUAGUCC